UAGGGAAUCUUCCGCAAUGGACGCAAGUCUGACGGAGCAACGCCGCGUGAGUGAAGAAGGAUUUCGGUUCGUAAAACUCUGUUGUUAGAGAAGAACAGCGCAUAGAGUAACUGUUAUGCGUGUGACGGUAUCUAACCAGAAAGCCACGGCUAACUACGUGCCAGCAGCCGCGGUAAUACGUAGGUGGCAAGCGUUGUCCGGAUUUAUUGGGCGUAAAGCGAGCGCAGGCGGUCAAUUAAGUCUGAUGUGAAAGCCCCCGGCUCAACCGGGAAGGGUCAUUGGAAACUGGUUGACUUGAGUGCAGAAGAGGAGAGUGGAAUUCCAUGUGUAGCGGUGAAAUGCGUAGAUAUAUGGAGGAACACCAGUGGCGAAGGCGACUCUCUGGUCUGUAACUGACGCGGAGGCUCGAAAGCGUGGGUAGCAAACAGG
rnacentral:rRNA from 1 species